UACGGAGGAUCCAAGCGUUAUCCGGAAUCAUUGGGUUUAAGGGGUCCGUAGGCGGCCGAGUUAGUCAGUGGUGAAAGCCCAUCGCUCAACGGUGGAACGGCCAUUGAUACUGCUCGGCUUGAAUUACUGGGAAGUAACUAGAAUAUGUAGUGUAGCGGUGAAAUGCUUAGAUAUUACAUGGAAUACCGAUUGCGAAGGCAGGUUACUACCAGUUUAUUGACGCUGAUGGACGAAAGCGUGGGGAGCGAACAGG
rnacentral:rRNA from 1 species